GACGAACGCUGGCGGCGUGCCUAAUACAUGCAAGUAGAACGCUGAAGGAGGAGCUUGCUCUUCUGGAUGAGUUGCGAACGGGUGAGUAACGCGUAGGUAACCUGCCUGGUAGCGGGGGAUAACUAUUGGAAACGAUAGCUAAUACCGCAUAAGAGUAGAUGUUGCAUGACAUUUGCUUAAAAGGUGCAAUUGCAUCACUACCAGAUGGACCUGCGUUGUAUUAGCUAGUUGGUGGGGUAACGGCUCACCAAGGCGACGAUACAUAGCCGACCUGAGAGGGGGAUCGGCCAAACUGGGACUGAGACACGGCCCAGACUCCUACGGGAGGGAGCAGUAGGGAAUCUUCGGCAAUGGACGGAAGUCUGACCGAGCAACGCCGCGUGAGUGAAUAAGGUUUUCGGAUCGUAAAGCUCUGUUGUAAGAGAAGAACGAGUGUGGGAGUGGAAAGUUCACACUGUGACGGUAUCUUACCAGAAAGGGACGGCUAACUACGUG
rnacentral:rRNA from 1 species